rnacentral:piRNA from 4 species
GGGGGAUGUAGCUCAGUGGUAGAGCG